GCCGCGGUAAUACGAAGGGUGCAAGCGUUACUCGGAAUUACGGGGCGUAAAGCGCGUGCAGGCGGUUUCGUAAGUCGGACGUGAAAGCUCCUGGCUUAACUGGGAGAGGUCGUUCGAUACUGCGGGGCUUGAGGUCGGGAGAGGGACGUGGAAUUCCCGGUGUAGUGGUGGAAUGCGUAGAUAUCGGGAGGAACACCAGUGGCGAAGGCGACGUCCUGGCCCGCACCUGACGCUGAGACGCGAAAGCGUGGGUAGCAAACGG
rnacentral:rRNA from 1 species